UCUUACUUUCUUGAUGCUCAGCUUUGCUUGCCAAAAUUACUUACGUGCAAAUGGGUCACUUUCAACGUCUCUCCUUCAUCGUGGCUACAAAAACCCUUAGAUUGGUCCCCUUCUCCUUCACUCCCUCUCCGCAGAUCUACGAUGGUUUUGAGGGUUUUCUCUGUAAUUUUUGGGCAAGAAGAGAAUAGAAAAUGAAGUGGAGAAGCAGAAAAUGGGAAUAGGAAGAGGAAGAGGAGGUGAUUUCGAGGGUUUUCACUGGUGGGAACGACAUCUGUAUGUCUUUCUCUUUACAGUUGGGAGUGGGAGAAGGGGGGUUUAUACGGGUGGAGAAGGGGGGUUUUUACCGAUAAAGAAUUUUGCAUUUUCAUUAAUUCUUUUUCCUUUCAUAAAAUUUUUAAGUUUAUCUUCAAAAUGUAGAGAAAUAUUUUACAGUUACUAAAAUAUUAAAAAAAUAAUAAUAUUUACUGGAUCUGUUGAUGAGACAUAGGAAUGGUCUAAACUCUUGGGCAGUAAGUGGUGUUAUUAGGAGAGCAGCUGAUGCAAUCACUAAGCUUUGCUCAAGAAAAUAGCAGCAUUAAAUUCCGUGUUAGGAUUGAAGGUUGUAUCCCUCCACUUGUUGAGUUGCUUGAAUUUGUUGAACCAAUGGUGCAGAGAGCAACGGCUGGAGCCUUUCAAACCCUUGCUUUUGAAAAUGACGAGAACAAAAAUCAGAUUGUGGAAUGCAAUGCUUUACCUACUCAUAUACUAAUGCUGCAGUCUGAAGAUGCUGCAAUACACUAUGAAGCGUUGGCCUACUGUUAUAUCUUUUUGUUCUUUAAUUAUGUCCUCAUACUUAUUUGAGUUUCCACCCCUUAAUGAUGAUCAGGUUGGUAUUAUUGGAAAUCUUGUCCACUCAUCUCCUAACAUUAAGAAAGAGUUCCUAGCUGCUGGAGCUUUGCAAACUGUCAUUGGGUUACUUAGGGUCAUGGAAGUAGUGAAGAGGAAGAUGUUCCUCUGAUGAUGUGCCUGAUGAUAAUGAGUAUGCUUCAUUGCUGAUACUGAGUUGCAAAUCACCCAUCGGGCAUCUCCUCACCAUGGUUCAACUAAGGACAGCGGGGCCCAAAUGGAAGGCUUCUUCCAGCACAACCCCCAUUCAUCAUUGCCUCCACCUCCGCCACCCUCUGUCUAAGAGACCUCGACACCAUUCCAAAUUUUAGGGACGUGCUCUCUUUCUAUUUACUUUUCGUUUCCUUAUUUUAGGGGUCUGUGCACAUACAUUGAGGACAAUGUAUGUGCUUGGUGUAGGGGAGGUAUGUUAUGCUUUGUGCUUGUACUUGAUUUUUGGGGAGACAGUUGGAUAGUCUUGUAGCACAAUUCUCAUGAAAUUGGUUGUGUUGUUGAAAUCUGAAUGCUUGAAUUAAUGUCAGAAAUGUGGAUGUGUGGAAAUUUUUAUUUGGGGAUUGGCAAUUUUUAUUGAACACCGAAACAUGGGAAAGGAGUUAGUGUGUCUUGAGAAAAAUAUGUGAAUUAUCCUGUGGUAGCACUUGAAUUUUCAGAUGUUAUAUUGUGAUCCCUAAGAUUAAUAGGAAUUUUUUGUAUAAGUCGAGAUAAGUAGGAGGAACUAGCACUAGUGGCAUAUAAAAAAUAAAAUAAAAUUGUGUGAACUAUGUCCCAUUGACUGCAUCAAGUGAACAAUGUUCAAGGAUCAACACAAAAGCCCAUUGUGUGAGCUUUUACGUCAAAGCACUUCCAUUUAAAUAGUGCUACAUUUCUUCUGAUUGAAGGCAUCGAACUUCGUGUGAUCGUUCUAGAACUUCCUUCUGUAAUACAUUUUGAGACCACAUUCUUAUAAGAUUGAUGUAUGAAAGUGAUAAGGGCACUUAGGAAUAACCCAUUGACUUGAAACGAGCCUACCUUGAAUUCUCCCGUAGAAAAACCCAUUUGAGCCUUUGUUAUUCUUUUCUUGGUUAAAACCACGUUAUAUGCUAAAUUAUCCCAUUCUUGGUUAUUUUUUAAAGUGAUUUUUGAACCCAUUUAAGGGUAUGGUCUUGGCUUGGUUGCUUGUAAGCUAACAUGGAGUGAAUAAAUUAUUCAAGUUGCAGACAUGGGGUGCUAGCCCCAAGAGAAAGAAAAAAGAGAAAAGGAGAAAAUGAAAAAUGAUGAAACAGCGGGGAAA